UGGGCGGUGCCGCGGCCUCGGCCCGCGCGGCCCCGCCUCACCGAACCCGCCCCCGACAGGACCCGCCCCCCAGGUCCGCGGAGCGGGGGUGAUCCCCGCCCAGAGGACCCCUCGCCCCACGCUGGCGAGCGCGCGUAUCCCCGGGCUGCGUGGCCUCAGUGGCGUCCGGCGUGCGUCCACGCGCGGCCCGACCAAGACCGGCGCCGAACCCGAAGCAGCAGGCCCGUCUGUACUCCCAGGACAUAAGGCAGAUCCGACCUGGAUGGGAACCGCGCCUUCCGAAACCACAUCAUGUUCCGGGAGCGCUACGGCAUCAAGUUCGGGGCGCACGUGAAUAGCCAACAGAUCAAGCUCACUCUGGACCAAGAGAUGCUCUUCAGAGCCCUGACCCCGGAGAGAAGAGGGGUCUGGCCAAGAUGGCACCGGGAGCAUCAAGGCAGGCGUGGGCUGUGCUGCCCGAGUGGUCACCCUGGACCUCCCACACUCCUCUCACGACGAGAUGCCUCUACCGGGGGGACUCCACGGGCCCGAAGCUGGGAGGCCCCACGCCCGCCUUGGCCCGGAGUGUGGCUGUGUCUCUGCUGACCUCCGAGGCCGGGCCCAGGGCGAGUCAGCCGCCGCUGGCCCUCAGAACUUCCAUCGCCCCACAGCCACCAGGCUGCAGGCCUCACGCAGACAGGAGCCCAGGGUGUGAGGGUAAGCCUGGUGGGCCCCGCCGUCCCACCACCCCUGCCCAUCUGCAGGCCUGGGCACAAAAUCAGGGAGGUUUCCUGUAAUGCGCCAGAUGGUAAAUAUCUUAGACUUCAGGCCCAGCCACUGUUAUCUGAGAACACAGCCUGUUGGAUACACAAACGAGUAAACAUGGCUGUGUCCCAACUUCUGGUUCCAUCUUAAACCUCUGGCUUGUUUGCAGGGCAACUCACUUGUGGCAUUAGAAAACCAGAACGCCAGGAUGGGGUGAGGCCAUGGACACUGGGAAAGAGGCCGGUCAGAUGAGCGAGAGGACACCUAUGAGAGAAAGAACUAUAUCUAAAUGUAAAACUUUCAUUCUGCAACAGAUACUGUUAAAAGAAUGAAAAAGCUACAGAGUGGGAGAAGAUAUUUGCCAAUCAUAUAUCUAAUAAAGGACUCAUGCAGAAUAAGAACCAAAGUGCUGGCAAGGAUGUGGAGCAACAGGGACUCUCGUCCAGCACUGGUGGGGAUGCAAAUGGUGCAGCCACUGUGGGGGACAGCUGGGCGGUUUCUUACAAAAGUACACAUACUGGGACUUCCCUGGUGGCGCAGUGGUUAAGAAUCCACCUGCCAAUGCAGGGGACACCGGUUCCAUCCCUGGUCCGGGAAGAUCCCACAUGCCGCAGAGCAACUAAGCCCGUGCGCCACAACUACUGAGCCUGCGCUCUAGAGCCCGCGAGCCACAACUACUGAAGCCUGCGUGCUCUAGGGCCCACGUGCUGCAGCAGUGAAGACCCAAUGCAGCCAAAAAAAAAAAAAAACUACAUAUACUCACCAUGUGAUCAGCAAUGAUGCUCCUUGGUAUUUACCCAAAUGAACUGAAAACUUAAACACACAUAAAACCUGCAUGCAAUAUUCACUGCUCUAUUCGUGAUCGUUAAAAACUGGAAGCAACCAAGAUCAUCUUCAUCGAGGGAAUGUGGAUAAACCGUGGGAUUCCAUGAAACGGACUAUGAUUCAGGGACACAAAGGAACAAGCUGUUGAUUCACUCAGCAGCGUGGAUGAGCCUUAGACAUAUUUUGCUAAGUGAAGGAAUCCAGACCCACAUAUGAUUCCUCUCACAGGGCGUUCUGGAACAAGCACAGCCCCAGGAGGGCAAGCACCAGCGGCUGCCGGGGCUAAUGGGGUGGGGGCUUAAGCUGCAGCGCGGAUGCGGCGGCCCCACCCGUGUGUGAAAACCCACGGGGCUGUACGUCCCAGAGACUGAACUGUCAUGUGUGCAAACUGAAUAAAGAAAGAAAAUAAAAACUUGUCAAACUGUA